rnacentral:lncRNA from 13 species
GUGUGUGUGUGUGUGUGUGUGUGUGUGUGUGUGUGUGUGUGUGUGUGUGUGUGUGUGUGUGUGUGUGUGUGUGUGUGUGUGUGUGUGUGUGUAAUCCUGUUACCCAAUCUGGGGCAAAGGAUUUAAUUUAUUUUAUCAUAUCUGGGAUCAAGGAUUGAAUUAAGAUUACAAUAUUCAAAAUAGAGAUUCUGACAACACCAUGAUCACAUUUCCAAAUGUAGUUUUUCCCUAAAACUAAGUUGAUCCUGUGGAUGGACUGAUGUUCCUCUGUCUAUCCUGUGCUGAAAUACGUCUAUAUUGCUUCAUGUCAUGAUCAACUUGUGAAUGUCUUUUAGGCCGAUUUCAGAUGAGGGUCAUAUGUUGGCGGUUCCUUGAAAAUGCAUGGCAGUCCACAGACAGGUAUUGAUUGGAUGACAGAGGAACCAAACAACAUGCAUGACGAGUGGGCUUGUGUCUUACAGACAGCAUCAGACCCAUUGAAGAGUUGGAAGGAUGGACCAUGUGUUAAACACUGGGUCUGUGAGAAACACAGUAGUUAUAAUAGCUACUGUAAGCCUCCAUUAGUCAGGGGUUCCCAAAGUCUUUCUGCACAUGACCCCAAAUUGACACUAGAAAAUGCAGACGACCCCACUUGGAAAAAUGAUAUUGCCCACAUUAGUUCAUGCUCUGUGUUCAUAUUCACUCAAUGGUAUUUUUUUAUUUUAUUUCACCUUUAUUUAACCAGGUAGGCUAGUUGAGAACAAGUUCUCAUUUGCAACUGCGACCUGGCCAAGAUAAGGCAUAGCAGUGUGAACAGACAAACACAGAGUUACACAUGGAGUAAACAAUUAACAAGUCAAUAACACAGUAGAAAAAAGGGGAGUCUAUAUAUACAUUGUGUGCAAAAGGCAUGAGAAGGUAGGCAAAUAAUUACAAUUAUGCAGAUUAACACUGGAGUGAUAAAUGAUCAGAUGGUUAUGUACAGGUAGAGAUUGGUGUGCAAAAGAGCAGAAAAAUAAAAAUAAAUAAAUAAAAACAGUAUGGGGAUGAGGUAGGUGAAAAUGGGUGGGCUAUUUACCAAUAGACUAUGUACAGCUGCAGCGAUCGGUUAGCUGCUCGGAUAGCAGAUGUUUGAAGUUGGUGAGGGAGAUAAAAGUCUUCAACUUCAGCGAUUUUUGCAAUUCGUUCCAGUCACAGGCAGCAGAGAACUGGAACGAAAGGCGGCCAAAUGAGGUGUUGGCUUUAGGGAUGAUCAGUGAGAUACACCUGCUGGAGCGCGUGCUACGGAUGGGUGUUGCCAUCGUAACCAGUGAACUGAGAUAAGGCGGAGCUUUACCUAGCAUGGACUUGUAGAUGACCUGGAGCCAGUGGGUCUGGCGACGAAUAUGUAGCGAGGGCCAGCCGACUAGUGCAUACAAGUCGCAGUGGUGGGUGGUAUAAGGUGCUUUGGUGACAGGUAGGUCCUGCAGGCUUCCCCAACACAUAAUAAUGGCAUAAUAAUGGCAUGAACACAUUUUAUAGUGCAAAAGGACCUUAGUUGACAUUAAAAUGUUGAAUUCUCUACACAUAUUUUUUUCAGGUGGCCCCAUUUUAAUUUUACAUGUGGGGAGUUGCACUGGAUAACCAUGUAAGAGUUGAGCUGUUGUUUCUAUUUGUAACUGAAUUGAAAUAUGUAUUUGAUGUCUUUAAAGCAGGGUUAAUCAACUAGGUUUGUCUUCAGGCCAAAUUCUUUCUGAGAUAAUAGUCUGCAGGCCAGAACAUAAUUAUUAUAUAAUAUUAGCACAAUGAAUUGGCCUACACUUUAAAUUUUACAUUUUUAACACAUGCGGUUAGUACAUAAUACAUUCAGUGACAAUAACAUAAUUUAAAUCUGAUUACGCUCAAAAAAUCACAAUGCCUCUAUUCAAGUAUAUAUUUCUCUGUGCGUUGAUUGGUGGGGAAAAAACAGGUCGCCGUAGCGUCCUGUAGGCUACGGUACUUUUUUAAAGUCAACAUCUGUUCUGAACAAUUAUCUUAAUAGCAACAGAAAAUGUUCGCUCUCAAUAAGUAUCAAAAGAAAGGUGGAUAAUGAAAAUCAAAGUUUCAGGGAAGAAUAUACAGAGAGAUAAGUUAAUCUUACCAUCUUUCCCCAAUGCCAAGCCUGUGUGUUUUAUUUGCAAUGAAAAUGUGGCUGUUUGCAAAGAUUUCAAUCUCAGACAUCAUCAUAAAUAUAAUGUGCAUGAAACUUUGAAAGUGGCCUUCCCGCUGCAGACAUGAGGUCCGACGCAGAAUCAUUGAAGCGUUAACUGCAAGCUACACACUGCUUUUUUGGCUGACAUUUUCCGUGCUUAAACGGGUCAAAUCUACAGUUACUAGGAAGAGGAAAAACAGUUGUGGACAUUGUGGAAAAACUUCAGGCUUUUACCUGGAAGCUUGAGUUGUUCGAUUUGGACUUCAGCCCACUGAAGAAACAGGCAGAGGGACCAGGCCGCAGCAUUGUCACACAGGAUAUGGAAGAUUUCAUCAAGCAGCUGCGUGACAACAUCUCCAGCAGAUUUGAAGACCACAGCAUUCCCAAGGAUAACAUUGCGUUUAUACUUGAUCCUCUCACAGUCAGAGAAUUAUCCUCCCUUGUUAAGAAAACGAUACCCACGCUGGAUAAGGCCGCAAUUCAAAUUGAGCUGAUUUGAAUUCCAGACAUCGAGCCAAAACAGCGAUGCGCUCAGGAGUGCCGAAUCUUUGUGUGCGUUUUGCGUGGCAUGUUCAGAGGAAUACAGCACAAUGAAGAAACUAGCAAUUUAUGUGCUAACAAUGUUUGGAUGACUUACACCUGCAAGUCCUAAUUUUCCUCUAUGAAUGCAAAAAAUACUUACAACAGCAACUGGGGAGGACUGCCUGCGCAUCAAAAUCACAUCCAUCUUACACGACAUCCACAAAAUCGUGUCCGUGGGGAAAUGCAACUUUUCCCAUUGAUUAACUCAUUUAGUAGUCUAUAUUACUGUAUUUAGUAAAUACUAACAUUAUUGUGAGUGCUUAUCCAGGGACAUUUAGGUCUCAAGCUGACAGUAUUUUCUGUUUCUUCUGUCGUUACAUGAGCAGGCUAUCCCGAUAGACAUUCAGACACCUUUUUUCCUUUAAAUUAUUGUUUNNNNNNNNNNCAGACAUGAGGUCCGACGCAGAAUCAUUGAAGCGUUAACUGCAAGCUACACACUGCUUUUUUGGCUGACAUUUUCCGUGCUUAAACGGGUCAAAUCUACAGUUACUAGGAAGAGGAAAAACAGUUGUGGACAUUGUGGAAAAACUUCAGGCUUUUACCUGGAAGCUUGAGUUGUUCGAUUUGGACUUCAGCCCACUGAAGAAACAGGCAGAGGGACCAGGCCGCAGCAUUGUCACACAGGAUAUGGAAGAUUUCAUCAAGCAGCUGCGUGACAACAUCUCCAGCAGAUUUGAAGACCACAGCAUUCCCAAGGAUAACAUUGCGUUUAUACUUGAUCCUCUCACAGUCAGAGAAUUAUCCUCCCUUGUUAAGAAAACGAUACCCACGCUGGAUAAGGCCGCAAUUCAAAUUGAGCUGAUUUGAAUUCCAGACAUCGAGCCAAAACAGCGAUGCGCUCAGGAGUGCCGAAUCUUUGUGUGCGUUUUGCGUGGCAUGUUCAGAGGAAUACAGCNNNNNNNNNNUUACGCUCAAAAAAUCACAAUGCCUCUAUUCAAGUAUAUAUUUCUCUGUGCGUUGAUUGGUGGGGAAAAAACAGGUCGCCGUAGCGUCCUGUAGGCUACGGUACUUUUUUAAAGUCAACAUCUGUUCUGAACAAUUAUCUUAAUAGCAACAGAAAAUGUUCGCUCUCAAUAAGUAUCAAAAGAAAGGUGGAUAAUGAAAAUCAAAGUUUCAGGGAAGAAUAUACAGAGAGAUAAGUUAAUCUUACCAUCUUUCCCCAAUGCCAAGCCUGUGUGUUUUAUUUGCAAUGAAAAUGUGGCUGUUUGNNNNNNNNNNNNNNNNNNNNNNNNNNNNNNNNNNNNNNNNNNNNNNNNNNNNNNNNNNNNNNNNNNNNNNNNNNNNNNNNNNAAAAUGUUCGCUCUCAAUAAGUAUCAAAAGAAAGGUGGAUAAUGAAAAUCAAAGUUUCAGGGAAGAAUAUACAGAGAGAUAAGUUAAUCUUACCAUCUUUCCCCAAUGCCAAGCCUGUGUGUUUUAUUUGCAAUGAAAAUGUGGCUGUUUGCAAAGAUUUCAAUCUCAGACAUCAUCAUAAAUAUAAUGUGCAUGAAACUUUGAAAGUGGCCUUCCCGCUGCAGACAUGAGGUCCGACGCAGAAUCAUUGAAGCGUUAACUGCAAGCUACACACUGCUUUUUUGGCUGACAUUUUCCGUGCUUAAACGGGUCAAAUCUACAGUUACUAGGAAGAGGAAAAACAGUUGUGGACAUUGUGGAAAAACUUCAGGC